GACGAACGCUGGCGGCGUGCUUAACACAUGCAAGUCGAACGGAAAGGCCCUGCUUUUGUGGGGUGCUCGAGUGGCGAACGGGUGAGUAACACGUGAGUAACCUGCCCUUGACUUUGGGAUAACUUCAGGAAACUGGGGCUAAUACCGGAUAGGAGCUCCUGCUGCAUGGUGGGGGUUGGAAAGUUUCGGCGGUUGGGGAUGGACUCGCGGCUUAUCAGCUUGUUGGUGGGGUAGUGGCUUACCAAGGCUUUGACGGGUAGCCGGCCUGAGAGGGUGACCGGACACAUUGGGACUGAGAUACGGCCCAGACUCCUACGGGAGGCAGCAGUGGGGAAUAUUGCACAAUGGGCGGAAGCCUGAUGCAGCCACGCCGCGUGCGGGAUGACGGCCUUCGGGUUGUAAACCGCUUUCGCCUGUGACGAAGCGUGAGUGACGGUAAUGGGUAAAGAAGCACCGGCUAACUACGUG
rnacentral:rRNA from 1 species